rnacentral:rRNA from 1 species
UACGUAGGGGGCAAGCGUUGUCCGGAUUUAUUGGGCGUAAAGAGCGUGUAGGCGGCCAGACAGGUCAGCUGUGAAAACUCGAGGCUCAACCUCGAGACGUCGGUUGAAACCGUCUGGCUAGAGUCCGGAAGAGGAGAGUGGAAUUCCCGGUGUAGCGGUGAAAUGCGCAGAUAUCGGGAAGAACACCCGUGGCGAAAGCGAGGUCCUGGACGUUUUCUGACGCUGAGACGCGAAAGCUAGGGGAGCAAACAGG